rnacentral:rRNA from 1 species
CCUACGGGUGGCAGCAGUGAGGAAUAUUGGUCAAUGGGCGCGAGCCUGAACCAGCCAAGUCGCGUGAGGGAGGACGGCCCUACGGGUUGUAAACCUCUUUUGCCGGGGAGCAACGGGCGCCACGUGUGGCGUCACUGAGAGGACCCAGAGAAAAAGCAUCGGCUAACUCCGUGCCAGCAGCCGCGGUAAUACGGAGGAUGCGAGCGUUAUCCGGAUUUAUUGGGUUGAACGGGUGCGUAGGCGGAUCGUUAAGUCAGUGGUCACAUUGAGGGGCUCAACCCCUUCCCGCCAUUGAAACUGGCGUUCUUGAGUGGAAGAGAAGUAUGCGGAAUGCGUGGUGUAGCGGUGAAAUGCAUAGAUAUCACGCAGAACCCCGAUUGCGAAGGCAGCAUGCCGGCUUCCGACUGACGCUGACGCACGACAGCGUGGGGAUCGAACAGGAUUAGAUACCCUGGUAGUC